AUGGUGAAGCUCCGUUUAUUCAAGGCGCAGCACAGCGUUUUUUAUCUUUGACUCAUGGGAACAUACCCCAAUGUAACAGCGGACAAAGCAACAAAGUUUACAUAUCUUUACCAAUAGGCACCACCGAGAAUUUUUCUCAUGCGAAUACCAAUCGAAGUAUCAACAAGCCAUUUCUUUGCAACGUUAUCUUGCCUGUGUCCUUCUCCCGCGCUGUUCCCGUAAAAACACCAUGUACUUCUUGUUCCCGGAAUGUCCCAAUACCUGAUACAGAAGCUAGCAAUACCUGAUACAUGUUUGUGCUAGAGCUGACUGUGCUUGAGCUAGCAACAUUGUUUUAUAGUAUGAGCUCGCCCAGCGUCAGAGUUUUGCUGACUGGGAGGUGCAAGGUCCAUGGACAGAGAACUGAGCUGGGAUAUUCUGCUCACGUACUAACACCUGAGAGGGGCCUUCGCCCAUCAGUGAUGUCUCAGGAACAGCCUGUGGUCCUCAACGUCCUACAGAUCCCUAACAGAUGAGCCAUUUCUGGCACAGGGGCCUGGGAAAAGGAAAACAAACCCCGGAGGCCACAUGUCGCUUUCCUUUAGAAUCUAGAGAAUGGGGGCGAGACAAAGGUCAUGGCUGAGAAAGCCAAGACUCGUAAGUGGGAUCUUGCAUAUUAGAAAGACACCAGCUGCCUCCUCCACAUGCUCUCCCUUCCCCACCUUCAAGAUCUCUCACAUGUAUCACCUAAAAAUAUCAAUUAAAGAGGGGCCAGCAUUCUUGGCCCCUGGAUUGAUCAACACAGAACUACUGAAAACUGGCAUGAUUCUUAAUAAUCCCUCUAUUAAAUAGUUAAAGAAGUCACAGAGGUGUCAUCCAAGUAUACAGCUGCUCAUCACAAGGCAGCCACUGGGGGGUGAUUCCCCUCUUCUU